AUUGAACGCUGGCGGCAGGCCUAACACAUGCAAGUCGAGCGAGCGGCGGACGGGUGAGUAAUGUAUGGGGACUGCCCGAUAGAGGGGGAUAACUACUGGCAACGGUAGCUAAUACCGCAUACUAUCGGAUAACCCAUAUGGGGUUUGCUAGUAGGUGAUGUCAUGGCUCACCUCGGCGACGAGCCCUAGCUGGUCUGAGAGGAUGAUCAGCCACAAUGGGACGGAUAAACGGCCCAGACUCCUACGGAGGAAGCAGUGGGGAAUAUUGCACAAGGGGCGCAAGCCUGAUGCAGCCAUGCCGCGUGUAUGACGAAGGCCCUCGGGUUGUAAAGUACUUUCAGUCGGGAGGCGUUACCGACAGAAGAAGCACCGGCUAACUCCGUGCCAGCAGCCGCGGUAAUUC
rnacentral:rRNA from 1 species